rnacentral:tRNA from 1 species
GACCGCGUAGCUCACUUAGCAGAGCGUUGGGCUAGUAUUCCAAAGGUCGUAGGUUCGAUUCCCACCGUGGCCA